AAUGUUUUCGGACCAAACGGGGCUUCGGCUCCGGCGCAAAGAGAGGCCCAAGUGAGAUUAGCUAGUUGGUGAGGUAACGGCUUACCAAGGCGACGAUCUCUAGCUGUUCUGAGAGGAAGAUCAGCCACACUGGGACUGAGACACGGCCCAGACUCCUACGGGAGGCAGCAGUGGGGAAUAUUGCACAAUGGGGGAAACCCUGAUGCAGCCAUGCCGCGUGUGUGAAGAAGGCCUUCGGGUUGUAAAGCACUUUCAGUUGUGAGGAAAAGUUAGUAGUUAAUACCUGCUAGCCGUGACGUUAACAACAGAAGAAGCACCGGCUAACUCCGUGCCAGCAGCCGCGGUAAUACGGAGGGUGCGAGCGUUAAUCGGAAUUACUGGGCGUAAAGCGCACGCAGGCGGUUUGUUAAGCUAGAUGUGAAAGCCCCGGGCUCAACCUGGGAUGGUCAUUUAGAACUGGCAGACUAGAGUCUUGGAGAGGGGAGUGGAAUUCCAGGUGUAGCGGUGAAAUGCGUAGAUAUCUGGAGGAACAUCAGUGGCGAAGGCGACUCCCUGGCCAA
rnacentral:rRNA from 1 species